rnacentral:lncRNA from 1 species
CCCUAUAAGAUAUCUACAGUCACAAUAUUACUUAGCCAAGGGUGACCCCUAACAAAUAUUUGCGUUACUACUCUCGUCAGAUGGUACACUGUCAUCCAUUGGGAGUGGUCCUCUUAUGCCUUUCUAAACCAGAUAGGGAGGUCCUCCUCCCUCAUUUUUUAUGCCAAGAAUCUUUUUCUCCUCUCUCUUCACCAGAUUUUGCCACUUAUCGCCAAUCCAAUGAUUCUAAAAUUCUAUA